GAGGCGAACCGGGGGAACUGAAACAUCUAAGUACCCCGAGGAAAAGAAAUCAACCGAGAUUCCGAAAGUAGCGGCGAGCGAAAUUGGACUAGCCCUUAAGCUUUACACGCGUUAGACGAACGGUCUGGAAAGUCCGACGAUACAGGGUGAUAGUCCCGUAGUUGACGACGUGUGUUCAGUGAAAUCGAGUAGGGCGGGACACGUGAUAUCCUGUCUGAAUAUGGGGGGACCAUCCUCCAAGGCUAAAUACUACUGACUGACCGAUAGUGAACCAGUACCGUGAGGGAAAGGCGAAAAGAACCCCUGUGAGGGGAGUGAAAUAGAACCUGAAACCGUGUACGUACAAGCAGUAGGAGCAGGCUUUGUCCUGUGACUGCGUACCUUUUGUAUAAUGGGUCAGCGACUUAUAUUCAGUGGCAAGGUUAACCAUCUAGGGGAGCCGUAGGGAAACCGAGUCUUAACUGGGCGUUCAGUCUCUGGAUAUAGACCCGAAACCAGGUGAUCUAGCCAUGGGCAGGUUGAAGGUUGAGUAACAUCAACUGGAGGACCGAACCGACUAAUGUUGAAAAAUUAGCGGAUGACUUGUGGCUAGGGGUGAAAGGCCAAUCAAACCUGGAGAUAGCUGGUUCUCCCCGAAAGCUAUUUAGGUAGCGCCUCGGACGAAUACUACUGGGGGUAGAGCACUGUUAAGGCUAGGGGGUCAUCCCGACUUACCAACCCUUUGCAAACUCCGAAUACCAGUAAGUACUAUCCGGGAGACACACGGCGGGUGCUAACGUCCGUCGUGGAGAGGGAAACAACCCAGACCGCCAGCUAAGGUCCCAAAUUACUACUAAGUGGGAAACGAUGUGGGAAGGCUCAGACAGCCAGGAUGUUGGCUUAGAAGCAGCCAUCAUUUAAAGAAAGCGUAAUAGCUCACUGGUCGAGUCGGCCUGCGCGGAAGAUGUAACGGGGCUAAGUAGUAAACCGAAGCUGCGGCAAUGUGCUUUUGCACAUUGGGUAGGGGAGCGUUCUGUAAGCGGUUGAAGGUGUGUGGUAACGCAUGCUGGACGUAUCAGAAGUGCGAAUGCUGACAUGAGUAACGAUAAAGGGGGUGAAAAACCUCCUCGCCGGAAGACCAAGGGUUCCUGUCCAACGUUAAUCGGGGCAGGGUAAGUCGACCCCUAAGGCGAGGCCGAAAGGCGUAGUCGAUGGGAAACGGGUUAAUAUUCCCGUACUUCUUACAAUUGCGAUGGGGGGACGGAGAAGGCUAGGUGGGCCUGGCGACGGUUGUCCAGGUUCAAGUGCGUAGGCUUAAGAGUUAGGUAAAUCCGGCUCUUUCUAAGGCUGAGACACGACGUCGAGCACCUACGGGUGUGAAGUCAUUGAUGCCAUGCUUCCAGGAAAAGCCUCUAAGCUUCAGAUUGUAAGGAAUCGUACCCCAAACCGACACAGGUGGUCGGGUAGAGAAUACCAAGGCGCUUGAGAGAACUCGGGUGAAGGAACUAGGCAAAAUGGUACCGUAACUUCGGGAGAAGGUACGCUCUUGAUGGUGAAGUCCCUCGCGGAUGGAGCUGACGAGAGUCGCAGAUACCAGGUGGCUGCAACUGUUUAUUAAAAACACAGCACUGUGCAAAAUCGUAAGAUGACGUAUACGGUGUGACGCCUGCCCGGUGCCGGAAGGUUAAUUGAUGGGGUUAGACUUCGGUCGAAGCUCUUGAUCGAAGCCCCGGUAAACGGCGGCCGUAACUAUAACGGUCCUAAGGUAGCGAAAUUCCUUGUCGGGUAAGUUCCGACCUGCACGAAUGGCGUAAUGAUGGCCACGCUGUCUCCACCCGAGACUCAGUGAAAUUGAAAUCGCUGUGAAGAUGCAGUGUACCCGCGGCUAGACGGAAAGACCCCGUGAACCUUUACUACAGCUUGGCACUGAACAUUGACCCUACAUGUGUAGGAUAGGUGGGAGGCUUUGAAGCACGUACGCCAGUAUGUGUGGAGCCGUCCUUGAAAUACCACCCUUGUAGUGUUGAUGUUCUAACGUCGACCCCUUAUCGGGGUUGCGGACAGUGCCUGGUGGGUAGUUUGACUGGGGCGGUCUCCUCCCAAAGAGUAACGGAGGAGCACGAAGGUGGGCUAAUCACGGUUGGACAUCGUGAGGUUAGUGCAAUGGCAUAAGCCCGCUUGACUGCGAGAAUGACAAUUCGAGCAGGUGCGAAAGCAGGUCAUAGUGAUCCGGUGGUUCUGAAUGGAAGGGCCAUCGCUCAACGGAUAAAAGGUACUCCGGGGAUAACAGGCUGAUACCGCCCAAGAGUUCAUAUCGACGGCGGUGUUUGGCACCUCGAUGUCGGCUCAUCACAUCCUGGGGCUGAAGUCGGUCCCAAGGGUAUGGCUGUUCGCCAUUUAAAGUGGUACGCGAGCUGGGUUUAGAACGUCGUGAGACAGUUCGGUCCCUAUCUGCCGUGGGCGUUGGAAGAUUGAAGGGGGCUGCUCCUAGUACGAGAGGACCGGAGUGGACGAACCUCUGGUGUUCGGGUUGUGUCGCCAGACGCAUUGCCCGGUAGCUAAGUUCGGAAUCGAUAACCGCUGAAAGCAUCUAAGCGGGAAGCGAGCCCUGAGAUGAGUCUUCCCUGAUACUUUAAGUAUCCUAAAGGGUUGUCGGAGACUACGACGUUGAUAGGUCAGGUGUGUAAGUGCUGUGAGGCAUUGAGCUAACUGAUACUAAUUGCCCGUGAGGCUUAACCAUACAACACCCAAGGGGUUU
rnacentral:rRNA from 1 species